rnacentral:rRNA from 1 species
UACGUAGGUCGCAAGCGUUGUCCGGAUUUACUGGGCGUAAAGAGCGCGCAGGCGGCUGGUCAAGUCCGAUGUGAAAUCUCCCGGCUCAACUGGGAAACUGCAUCGGAAACUGAUCGGCUUGAAGAUGGGAGAGGGUAGUGGAAUUCCCGGUGUAGUGGUGAAAUGCGUAGAUAUCGGGAGGAACACCAGUGGCGAAGGCGGCUUCCUGGCCUGUUCUUGACGCUGAGGCGCGAAAGCUAGGGGAGCAAACGGG